GCAGUAGCCGCGGUAAUACGAAGGGGGCUAGCGUUGCUCGGAUUUACUGGGCGUAAAGGGCGCGUAGGCGGACAGUUUAGUCAGUGGUGAAAGCCCGGGGCUCAACCAAUAGUCUGCAUCGGAAACUGCGAGGCUUGAGAGUGGGAGAGGUGAGUGGAAUUUCCGGUGUAGCGGUGAAAUGCGUAGAUAUCGGAAGGAACACCUGUGGCGAAAGCGGCUCACUGGACCAUUUCUGACGCUGAUGCACGAAAGCUAGGGGAGCAAACAGGAUUAGAUACCCCCGUAGUCCCUGUCUCUUAUAC
rnacentral:rRNA from 1 species